CUGCAGGCCGCCCUCCGCUGCCAGGCCUCCCGUCCCACCUUCCCUCACAGACCGUCCUCCGCCACGGUCCCCGCCGGGCUGGUAGGCCCUGGGCUCCUCAGGGCGAGAACCGAAGGAAAAUCCCCCGAGGAGAAACGAGGAGCUAUGAAUUGUCUGCUGUUUAAUGAAGUCGUGCCUUUCUGCGGAUGGCCUCCCCAGCUGCCCUCCAAGUGCUGCAGCCAGGGACUCCCCAGCACGAGGGGAAGAAGAGAGGUGAUGGGUAACACACAGGAGCGGAGCAUCUUGACUCCAUGAAGGAAAGAAACUUUUGCACUAACUCUGCCAGUGAGUGGUCUGAGCUGCUGGGCUGAGUUAUCA